AAGACUAUACUUUCAGGGAUCAUUUCUGUAGUUUGAGACUAGAGAAGUUUCUCUGAAUGUGUAGAGCACCCGAAGCCAUGAGGAGGAGAAGCAGUGUCCUCUCUUGAGAGUGAAGCCGGCUGUUAGUGUUGCUUCUUGCAACUGCUAAAGCCAUUGAUGAUCAUUCUCGACCGUGUUAGAGGUCGGGAGGGAGAGGAUGCAGUCUGAGUGGC